AUUGAACGCUGGCGGCAGGCCUAACACAUGCAAGUCGAGCGGCAGCGGGAAAGUAGCUUGCUACUUUUGCCGGCGAGCGGCGGACGGGUGAGUAAUGCCUGGGGAUCUGCCCAGUCGAGGGGGAUAACUACUGGAAACGGUAGCUAAUACCGCAUAAUGUCUACGGACCAAAGUGGGGGCUCUUCGGACCUCAUGCUAUCGGAUGAACCCAGGUGGGAUUAGGUAGUUGGUGAGGUAAUGGCUCACCAAGGCGACGAUCUCUAACUGGUUUGGGGGAAUGACCAGUCACACCGGAACUGAGACACGGUCCAGACUCCUACGGGAGGCAGCAGUGGGGAAUAUUGCACAAUGGGCGCAAGCCUGAUGCAGCCAUGCCACGUGUGUGAAGAAGGCCUUCGGGUUGUAAAGCACUUUCAGCGAGGAGGAAAGGUUGGUAGCGAAUAACUGCCAGCUGUGACGUUACUCGCAGAAGAAGCACCGGCUAACUCCGUGCCAGCCGCCGCGGUAAGAC
rnacentral:rRNA from 1 species